CAGAGGCCCCCCCUUUCCCUAGCGUGCGUGCGGUCCCCCGCGGCGACCUCUCCACUCGCCGUCGCCGUCCGUCGGGGAGGGAGCGUGCGUGCGGUCCCCCGCGGCGACCUCUCCACUCGCCGUCGCCGUCCUCGGCCACUCGCCGUCCCGACCUCUCCACUCGCCUCCUCUGGCCAGCCAACCAUAGUGGCAUCGUUCCUCUGACACCGGUCGGCGCUUCGACUUCGACUCCUACAACCGGCACCUCGACUUGUCAACAUCCUCCGUCGCCAAAUCUUAACCACUACGAGUUCAUCCGGCCAUCGUCGUGAACCUCCAAGCAGAUAUGCCACGCCCUUCAUGUCAUCAGGCCAACGACCUCACCCUGGGAGUCCACUUCUUCACGGUCACGACAUCUGCCUUGAAAAAUUAUCUGGAGCAGUGAGUUCCAGAGACGAACGGGGAACUGGACUUUGAGCUGGAGCGGUCAUGUGUUCUUGCACCUGGGGAUUAAAAGCCAAUAUACAAUUUGUUCAUUUUCUUUUAGAGUCAUUGUUUAUGACAGAAUGUAUAAACCACAUGGAGCUUGUGACAUCGGAUGAAGCUAGCGCACGGCGGCAUACAACAGGAGCUAUUAGAGCUGGUUGUUACACGGGCAUGAUGUAGUGCCCAGGAUGCUCUUCGGAUGGCUCCCAGGAUGGGAUUGAACCCAGUUGAGGUCCUUGGGAAAUCAGGCCCUCCUGUUUCCAAGAUCAUAGGCUUUCACAAAGACAAGUAUACCAAGGAUGCCAUGGAGAAAGAUCGCCUAAAAGAACAAGGUCAUAAUGUUGUACCGAGGGCAUAAAGUUGUAUCCAGGAUGGGCUUGCACCUGGUUGAGGUCCAUCGGAAAUAGGACCAUCCUGCUUGCAAGAUCAUGGACUUCCACAAAGACAAGUAUAACAAGGAUGUCAAGUAGAAAGAGCACGUAAAAACCAAGGUAUGUGUGUUGUGCCAUCACUACUGACGCUGAGUUGAGAUGCUUAGAGCACAGCAAAUAUAUUCCAUGUGCUGGCUAUUUUAUUUGUAAAGAAUUUUGUUUUUCUCAAGGGAAGGGAGGAGUAAAUGAGAUGGUGGGAUUGACUCUAACCUGUCAAUCUGCUGGUUUUGAUGGCUGUAGUAUGUGUUGUUCAGUUGCAACAUAAGACAUGGUUGUGCAUGUUUUGAUCCUUGUUGUGGAAUCGAAACAACUCCUUGUAUAGUUUAUUUGAUUAUUACUGCCAGUAUUCUGCCUGUGAGCCAUGGUGUUGAUUUCAAGUGGAAGAACCGCUGUCCGUUGUUUUCAGGGUCCAAGAAGUAUGUUUUCUUGUAUUUAGUUUUUGUUUUGACCUUGUGAAACUUGCUACCUAUGGAUGAAACUGUGUAAUAUUGAUGAAACUAUGUAUAUGUACGGAUGAAACUUGCUACUA